rnacentral:tRNA from 1 species
GGUCCCGUGGUGUAGCGGUUAGCACUCAGGACUCUGAAUCCCGCGACGGGAGUUCAAAUCUCCCCGGGACCU